GUGAGUCAUCGAAUCUUUGAACGCACAUUGCGCCCGCCAGUAUUCUGGCGGGCAUGCCUGUUCGAGCGUCAUUUCAACCCUCAAACCCCCGGGUUUGGUGUUGGAGAUCGGCAUGAGUCCUUCGGGGCGACGCCGUCUCCCAAAUAUAGUGGCGGUCUCGCUGUAGCUUCCUAUGCGUAGUAGCACACCUCGCACUGGAAAACAGCGUGGCCACGCCGUUAAACCCCCCACUUUCUGAGUUUGACCUCGAAUCAGGUAGGAUUACCCGCUGAACUUAAGCAUAUCAAUAAGCGGAGGA
rnacentral:misc_RNA from 1 species